rnacentral:rRNA from 1 species
GAUGAACGCUGGCGGCGUGCUUAACACAUGCAAGUCGAACGAUGAAGCCCAGCUUGCUGGGUGGAUUAGUGGCGAACGGGUGAGUAACACGUGAGUAACCUGCCCUUAACUCUGGGAUAAGCCUGGGAAACUGGGUCUAAUACCGGAUAGGAGCGUCCACCGCAUGGUGGGUGUUGGAAAGAUUUAUCGGUUUUGGAUGGACUCGCGGCCUAUCAGCUUGUUGGUUAGGUAAUGGCUCACCAAGGCGACGACGGGUAGCCGGCCUGAGAGGGUGACCGGCCACACUGGGACUGAGACACGGCCCAGACUCCUGCGGGAGGCAGCAGUGGGGAAUAUUGCACAAUGGGAGCAAGCCUGAUGCAGCGACGCCGCGUGAGGGAUGACGGCCUUCGGGUUGUAAUCCUCUUUCAGUAGGGAAGAAGCGAAAGUGACGGUACCUGCAGAAGAAGCACCGGCUAACUACGUG